CCACACCCGUUGUCAGCGCCCAGCAAGGGCUUAUUGUAGGUGGAUAGUCAGGGUUUGGGUGACUCGACGCUGCAGUACGACAUCAUCACGAGGGAUGUUCACUCCUGGGAUGGAGGAAGCACGGCAGAGCAUCCAGCCAGCAUUGGGGAUGGAAGUGC